ensembl:lncRNA
UGGCGAUCGGUCAAUUUUAAGUCAAGCGUUCACAAAAUCACGAAAAUGGAUCGGUAUUUGAUCCGAAAAAUUCCUCGAGUUGAAGAAGACGUUCAAGAGGAAGAAAAAAUGCAAGGUAGGUAGUGGAUUCUGAUUCUGAUGUAGGAGAAGAGGAACGUCCUGGUCCAAGUCAACCCUUCACCUCUACUGAGAUUAGAAUGUCAGAUAAUUCUAUCUGACAUUCUAAUCUGCCGUCUUUAGUUAGAAGUGUAUUGAACUUGGUAUGUUUAGUUUAAUUUGUCGCUCAUGGUAGUGGUGACCUGGUAGUCAUCUGGCGCAAACUUGAAUCCACACACUGAAGUAAGUGAAGUAUUUGGGAUUACGUUAUCUAUAACAUGCUGCAUCCAUUUUGACCGUCGGAGAUGAACGCGGCUUUGUGCGCGUCCGUCAGAAGUAGCCUAAUGACAAUAAUAAUACGAUCGAUUUGAAUGGCGCUUUUAAUGUACCCCAAAGACCCAGCAUCAAGCUAUUAAAAUCUCUACUAUGCACAGAUAAUAUAACAGUAUAUUAGUCAGUCAUUUUUAUUAGGUAAACAGGGAUUUGAUAACGUUUUUAAUUUAAGGACCACCCACAAUUGGUCUGGCCCACCCACAACUGGAAUCCUGACGCCGUGCCUGGUUGUGCCUGUUCAUUAGUGUACAGGAUCCAUUCUCUCAUUGCUUGUGUAAAAAAAAGAAGGUAUAAUAUUAGAUUUGAGGACGAAAUGAUAGGGUGGGCCAAGGCAAGUUUUGGGUGGGCUUGAGCCCACCCAAAAAAGGUCUAGCUUCGCCACUGAUUGAACCAUCGGACAAAAGUUGAACUUCGGUAAACUUUUUGCAAAUUAGCGUCUUGCAGCACGCGAUAUAUAUUUUUUAGCUAAAUUGGAUGAAAUAAAAAAAUAGAAAAACGGAAAGGUUCUGUUUCUGAAUGCUCUCUCGUCUGCCGGGGAAGCCAAACCCCUCCCCUUCCUGAAUGAUCGGUUGCUGUGUGUGUGUGUGUGUGUGUGUGUGUGUGUGUGUGUGUGUGUGUGUGUGUGUGUGUGUGUGUGUGU